UGCCCAUCAAUUUUUAUUUAAAACAGUCAAAAGAGAAAACAAAACUAUGUCAAGCAAUGAUGUUCAAAUAAAUUAACUUGCACUUACACAGCAGAGUAGUAUGAAGGUAUAAAAACCACAUUUCUCAUACAGUUGAAAGACAUGGUGGCAUAUUCAUACACAUAAUGUUAAACAAAAAAAAACAUUUUUAAUUUGAUCCCAAUUACAUUACAGUAUGCAUAUUUGCAAUAAAAAAUACCAAAAGAAAUACAAUGAAAUGUUAACAGUAUUUAUCUCUGGGUAAUGAGAUUAUGGUUCGAUUUUUUUGUCUACUUCUCCCUUUUGGUUAUGUCCACAUUGGACAAGUUUUCUUUCAUGAAAAACCAUAUACAACAUGUUAUUGAUCAGUUAGACAAGAGACGCUUGGAAGAAGACAGUAGGCAGACACAGUCAGCAGGAAGUGUGACGAAGCUGACGUGUCAUGUGCAAAAGCCCUCUGCCAGCUCUAUAGAAGCAAGGCAACAGAGCCACCUGGCUCCAGUGACACUGCAACGGGCCUGGCAGGUGGCAGGCAGAACCAGAGCCAUUUGCCCAGCAGAAAGGGCCCCAGGAUGCAGUCCGGACUGCCCGCUCUCUUGUGCACAGUGGUGGCCUUUAUCCUCUUUGGUUCCACCAACACCCAGAGUGUCACUCAAUCUCCAAGUUCAGUGCAGAGACCUGAGAAAGAAUCUGUGACCUUGGAUUGCAGUUUCACACUCAGCUUUGAUUACUACGUGAUGAGCUGGUUUCGACAGCUUCCCAAUGGAAAGAUGACUGAGAUCAUUUAUCUUUUUUCUACUAGCACAAACACUAGAAAAGGACGAUAUUCUAUGUCAUAUGUGGAAAGGUACAAAGCCAUAAGGCUCACCAUCACAGGCUUGAUGCCUACAGACUCUGGAGUCUAUUUCUGUGCCGUUGGAGAAGCUCCACGGUGAAAGGAGUGACAAGAGAGCCUUACAAAAACCUCCUGGACUCAGCAUGAAACAGCCACCUGCUCCAGGAGCUUAGGGAAAAACAACCACAGGCCAAAACGGUAUACAGAAGGCAUGGUGUGUGACACCAGUGGGUCUAGAGAGGAAGCUGAUGUAUGUUCUAACAACAAUCUUCCAACAUCUGUUAUCAAAGGAAGAGUUGUGGUUACAAGAUCUCAGCCUCAAGAGCAUUUUCACCUCAAAACUGGUGUCUAAGGAUAAUCACAUAGUAUCAAGAUAUGUAUCUGUCUCUUCUGUCUACCCAACAUCCAUCCCUCCUUUUCUGGGUGACAUGGCCCUGAUUUUCCAUGGAUAACCAAACCACACCUUCUGUUACUCCAUGUUUGGCCUUACAUGAGGCUGAUCCCAGCCUCGGACUCCCUGGCCAAUUAACGUGGUCCACAAGGAUUCAUUCAAGGAUGGGUCCCUGACCCAAGCCCACAACACAAGACUUUGUAUGAAACUCUUGGGAAUAUGGCUGACGAUGAAAGAGACUAAGAUAUAACCCUACAGCUUCCAGCAGCCAUCUUUUAUUUGGGGGAGGAGGGGUUAUUUUUUUUUAAUAUAACACAAUUUAUUUUUUUAACAUAUGCAAUUAUUUUCCAUCCUUUACAAUACAGUAGUUACAAUGACACUAGAAACAAAAGCAAAGUAAAAAAUCAAAACACCAACUUCUAUUUCAUGUAAUUAGACUUAUACAGAAAUUAGAAGGUUAAGUAACAACUAGUUGAUCACCUAAUUUCACAGCUAUCUGAAGUGGCAAUCAUUAUAGAACAGCUUAUCUAUGAUACGAUCAAGAUAAAUGAUAC
ensembl:lncRNA